rnacentral:rRNA from 1 species
GACGAACGCUGGCAGCGUGCCUAAUACAUGCAAGUAGGACGCAGUUGCGCACGGGUGAGUAACGCGUAGGUAACUACCUAUUAGGGGGGGAUAACUAUGGGAGACGAUAGCUAAUACCGCAUACUAGUAGAUGGACCUUCGUUGUAUUAGCUAGUAGGUAGGGUAAUGGCCUACCUAGGAAACGAUACAUAGCCGACCUGAGAGGGUGAUCGGACAGACUGGGACUGGGACACGGCCCAGACUCCUACGGGAGGCAGCAGUAGGGAAUCGUCGGCAAUGGGGGGAACCCUGACCGAGCAACGCCGCGUGAGUGAAGAAGGUUUUCGGAUCGUAAAGCUCUGUUGGUAAGGAAGCGGUACUUAACCAGAAAGGCCCGGCUAACUACGUGCCAGCAGCCGCGGUAAUUC